rnacentral:lncRNA from 1 species
GAUCUUGUUCAAAAGAGGAAUAGUUUUGUAUGGCACUGAUAUCAUUUUCUUUGGGGUGAGAAUACGAAUUGGAAGGCUUCUUUAAACUAAGCUUUGGGUCAUCAAAUUGAAGUUGAUCUGCAUAAUACAAUGGAUAAACUGGCCACGAAGUUUGUACUGGCGCACUUUGGUAGUUAUUACUGGGAAUCAAAUUCUUUGGUAAAAUGGGAAAUUUCAUGCUAUCAUAAUCUCUGUUUUGGACAACUAAACUGUCAACAUUCGAGCUGGAAAAUGUGGAAUUUAUGGCGGUAGAGGUCAUAAGUUUUGAAUACUGUAACAUCAGUUGGCUUUUCGAUGUAUAAUUGCCAAGAAGUUUGCUGUCCAAAUUGCUCGGUGGAACAGAGAUGGCGUCUGGAGCAUCAGGCCUAAGGUAGUAUCUAGGCGUGUCGUUUCGCUGACUUCUGGAUGACCUUCUCGGAGUGCAGCCCAAAUACAGAGCAGCUAACAACAAGGGAAACCAAGAAUAAUCGCUUUAGAUAUCAGUUGUUCAAUUUGGGGUUAGCAUUUUUUAUAACUGAAAGACUUCCAAUCCCAAAUCAACAAAUUAUCAAACUACAAAUCCAGAAUCACAAAUCUUUGAGGAAGUUUGGUACAUGGUACCAAACAAGACUAGUGGUACAAUGGUUGAGAUUUUAGCCUUGAACCCUGCUACAUGUAUUGGGAGAAUUGUUAGAUUGCAUUACAGGAAGACAUGUGACGCGCAUUCAUUGGAUCUUGAACAAAAAACAGUUUUACCAACCAAUGCACGACUGCCACCUAUCUCCCCAGCAUUCUCCCUGGCAAACUUCCUUUACAAGGGACUUAACUCUUUAGCUUUUGUUCUUCAUUAAUAUUGUCUAGUACCCUUUACUGCACCUAAUUGAGUGUCCAGUAAAUGCCAGGGGAUUCACAUUUACACACACAGAGAGAUCCAAAUAGUCGACAAAUGUCAAAUGUAUAACAUAAAUUGAUCUUUACCUGCAAGAAAGGAAAAUUUAAAUGGAAGUUACCUUCAAUACAAGGCUGCAAAAGUUCCCCAGUUUCCGAACUCUCGUCUCUUCGAAUUAUAGUGUCAAUAGCAUCGUUUACUCGGUGCCAAAGAGUUUUAAGAUCUGAAUACUCAGGAGGAUCUUGUUCAAAAGAGGAAUGGUUUUGUAUGGCACUGAUAUCAUUUUCUUUGGGGUGAGAAUACGAAUUGGAAGGCUUCUUUAAACUAAGCUUUGGGUCAUCAAAUUGAAGUUGAUCUGCAUAAUACAAUGGAUAAACUGGCCACGAAGUUUGUACUGGCGCACUUUGGUAGUUAUUACUGGGAAUCAAAUUCUUUGGUAAAAUGGGAAAUUUCAUGCUAUCAUAAUCUCUGUUUUGGACAACUAAACUGUCAACAUUCGAGCUGGAAAAUGUGGAAUUUAUGGCGGUAGAGGUCAUAAGUUUUGAAUACUGUAACAUCAGUUGGCUUUUCGAUGUAUAAUUGCCAAGAAGUUUGCUGUCCAAAUUGCUCGGUGGAACAGAGAUGGCGUCUGGAGCAUCAGGCCUAAGGUAGUAUCUAGGCGUGUCGUUUCGCUGACUUCUGGAUGACCUUCUCGGAGUGCAGCCCAAAUACAGAGCAGCUAACCACAAGGGAAACCAAGAAUAAUCGCUUUAGAUAUCAGUUGUUCAAUUUGGGGUUAGCAUUUUUUAUAACUGAAAGUCUUCCAAUCCCAAAUCAACAAAUUAUCAAACUACAAAUCCAGAAUCACAAAUCUUUGAGAAAGUUUGGUACAUGGUACCAAACAAGACUAGUGGUACAAUGGUUGAGAUUUUAGCCUUGAACCCUGCUACAUGUAUUGGGAGAAUUGUUAGAUUGCAUUACAGGAAGACAUGUGACGCGCAUUCAUUGGAUCUUGAACAAAAAACAGUUUUACCAACCAAUGCACGACUGCCACCUAUCUCCCCAGCAUUCUCCCUGGCAAACUUCCUUUACAAGGGACUUAACUCUUUAGCUUUUGUUCUUCAUUAAUAUUGUCUAGUACCCUUUACUGCACCUAAUUGAGUGUCCAGUAAAUGCCAGGGGAUUCACAUUUACACACACAGAGAGAUCCAAAUAGUCGACAAAUGUCAAAUGUAUAACAUAAAUUGAUCUUUACCUGCAAGAAAGGAAAAUUUAAAUGGA